GAUGAACGCUAGCUACAGGCUUAACACAUGCAAGUCGGGGGGAAACGACAUCGAAAGCUUGCUUUUGAUGGGCGUCGACCGGCGCACGGGUGAGUAACGCGUAUCCAACCUGCCCAUCACUUGGGGAUAACCUUGCGAAAGUAAGACUAAUACCCAAUGAUAUCUCUAGAAGACAUCUGAAAGAGAUUAAAGAUUUAUCGGUGAUGGAUGGGGAUGCGUCUGAUUAGCUUGUUGGCGGGGUAACGGCCCACCAAGGCAACGAUCAGUAGGGGUUCUGAGAGGAAGGUCCCCCACAUUGGAACUGAGACACGGUCCAAACUCCUACGGGAGGCAGCAGUGAGGAAUAUUGGUCAAUGGGCGAGAGCCUGAACCAGCCAAGUAGCGUGCAGGAAGACGGCCCUAUGGGUUGUAAACUGCUUUUAUAAGGGAAUAAAGUGAGAGUCGUGACUCUUUUUGUAUGUACCUUAUGAAUAAGGACCGGCUAAUUCCGUG
rnacentral:rRNA from 1 species